CCUACGGGGGGCUUCAGUCGAGAAUCAUUCACAAUGGGGGAAACCCUGAUGGUGCGACGCCGCGUGGGGGAAUGAAGGUCUUCGGAUUGUAAACCCCUGUCAUGUGGGAGCAAAUUAAAAAGAUAGUACCACAAGAGGAAGAGACGGCUAACUCUGUGCCAGCAGCCGCGGUAAUACAGAGGUCUCAAGCGUUGUUCGGAAUCACUGGGCGUAAAGCGUGCGUAGGCUGUUUCGUAAGUCGUGUGUGAAAGGUGCGGGCUCAACCCGCGGACGGCACAUGAUACUGCGAGACUAGAGUAAUGGAGGGGGAACCGGAAUUCUCGGUGUAGCAGUGAAAUGCGUAGAUAUCGAGAGGAACACUCGUGGCGAAGGCGGGUUCCUGGACAUUAACUGACGCUGAGGCACGAAGGCCAGGGGAGCGAAAGGGAUUAGAUACCCCUGUAGUC
rnacentral:rRNA from 1 species